rnacentral:tRNA from 1 species
GGGCGUGUAGCUCAGCAGGAUAGAGCAAGGGAAUCCUAAUCCCUGUGGCGAGAGUUCAAGUCUUUCCACGCCCC